GGCUCGGCCUCGGGCCACCCCGCCGGGUACACGUAGGGCGUCAGGAGGUGCCGGUCCGCGGCUUCCAGCACCAGAUCCAUGGUGGCUCCUGCGGGAAAAGGACUCGCUGUGACCGAGCUGUCCCUGCCCAGCACGGGAUGAUAUUGGUAUGGAAAGAUGAUGGAGGAAAGAAAAAUCCACCGUUGCUCCAUGAGGAAAUGCUGUGCAGAACUUUCAUUCCUUCUGGAAUCGCCUUUAUUUAAGCAUUAAAAUAAAAUGGGUUUGGGCUCAGCUGGGGGAAAUAUUUGGUCUAAGUUAAAAAUCUGGUUCAGCAAGGAUAAAGUUGUACAUAAUUAUUAUUUCUCAAUAAAAAUUAUUUUAAAUCAG